CAGGUACUCACUCCCUCCACCAAACUGCAGCCAUGCUGGUCAAUGAGACAUCACUGACCUACUUGCUGCCCCCUCUAUGGACCAAAGAAACAUUGCUGGAUCCCUGGUGGCUUUUGAUUAUUAGGAGUGCCACAAGAAUGUACUGAAAUGACAGUGCAAAUACAAGAUGUGUAUUUCAGCUACAUCAAGGAAGUUUGCAAGGACUAAACACUUGUGGCUCUAUCAGCAUUUGUGAAAGUCUAACGCUGCAGAAUGAAAGUGUUUCAAAUGAGCAUAUCAGGUAAUAACUGUGAGUACAGAAAGGAGCAUGCGUCUUGGAAGGUGCCUUAGGAAGUUUCUUCAAGGAACAAGUUAACCACUAAAGAUCAAAACUUGUCCAUAACCCAAGCAAGAAGGAACUAGGCACAGCAUCGUUGGGAGUUGGGCUCUUCUCACUAUUGAUCCACUUCUGACUACUGCCUGCAAGAGCAACUGCACCCUAGCCAUUCAGUCUGCAUCCUCAUGUUGAAAUAAAACCUCCUACAAAGGGGCA
rnacentral:lncRNA from 1 species